rnacentral:rRNA from 1 species
AACGAACGCUGGCGGCAGGCUUAACACAUGCAAGUCGAACGGUUGUAGCAAUACAGCAGUGGCGCACGGGUGAGUAACGCGUGGGAAUAUGCCUUAUAGUGGGGAAUAACGUUGGGAAACUAACGCUAAUACCGCAUACGCCCGAGAGGGGAAAGAUAUAUCGCUAUAAGAUUAGCCCGCGUGAGAUUAGGUAGUUGGUGGGGUAAUGGCCUACCAAGCCGACGAUCUCUAGCUGGUCUGAGAGGAUGAUCAGCCACACUGGAACUGAGACACGGUCCAGACUCCUACGGGAGGCAGCAGUGGGGAAUAUUGGACAAUGGGGGAAACCCUGAUCCAGCCAUGCCGCGUGAAUGAUGAAGGCCUUAGGGUUGUAAAGUUCUUUCGCCGAUGAAGAUAAUGACGGUAGUCGGAGAAGAAGCCCCGGCUAACUUCGUGCCAGCCGCCGCGGUAA